UGGAGAAUGAAGGGUUCAGGGAGCUGGUUCAGCUCCUUGAGCCCUCAUAUGUUUUGCCAACCAGAAAGACCAUCAAACAACUGUUGGCCAAAAAGUACGAGGAGGAACGGGAACGAGUGAAAAUGGAAGUACAGCAGGCUGCGGACAGAAUGUGCCUCAAUUGGAAGCUCAAAUGAGCCCCAGCCGGGAACAUCUUCACAACAGCUAUGACCUUUGGGAAAAUUUUGAUCUCGAAGUGGAGAGGCAGACCAAAAGUGCCACAGCUGAUGCCAUCCUUGAGGUGCAGAGAUACAUGGCAGAGGGCAAUAUUGCGAGGUCCCAGGAUCCUCUUGUAUAUUGGAAAAACCAAAGGACGGUUUAUCCAAACCUCUUCCGCCUGGCCAUAAAAUUUUUGUGCACUCCAGCUUCAUCUGUGCCGUGUGAGCGGGUGUUUUCCACAGCUGGAGAACUAAUAUCAAAAAAGCGCAACAGACUGAAUUUCAAAACGUUGCAACAACUUUUUUUUUUGAAUAAAAAUUUGUAAAAAAAAAUACCAGUGA